GUUGAAAGCAUCAGAGUGCAGCUAGGUUUAGCUCCACAUACUUGUAAUCCCAGCCCAGCAGGAUCAGAUUUUCAGGACCAGCCUUCACUAUGUGAACCUCUAUCUCAAAACACUAAGAGGUUGGGGAGAUGAAUCAGUCACUAACAUGAUUGCCUCACAAACAUGAGGACCUAAACUGGAUCCCCCGCAUCCAUUUGACAACAAGCACCUUUAAUGCCAUCAUUGAGGAGGAUCCUAAGGGCACUCUGGCCAGCUAACUGGUGUCAGAAGAGGACACUGGAUCACUUGGAAUUGUAGUUAUGGGUAGUUAUGAACCACCAUGUGGGUGCUGGCAACCAAGCAAAAAAUGGUAUUACCCUAUGAAAACUCAUCUCCAGAAGUCAAAGGACACUCCAUGGGUAGAUACUUAAGAAGAUAAGGUAGCUAUAACCAUCAAACAAAAGGAAAGUGCCAUAUGGUAAACUUUACAGCUGUCUCUCAGAGAACUCUAUUUCUCUUUAUUUCCUAGUCCCUAUUCAAUUAAACCAAUGCUGGAUUUAGAGUUGGAUUUGGCUUUCCUCCUCUAAAAUCCAAGCAUGUUUGUUGUUUAACUAAACUUUAGAGUUUCUGUAUUGUAUCAAGAAGCCAAUUGAUGUAAUACAGAAUAAGAAAGAAUUUGGAGACUGUCUUUGUCUUACCUUGGCUCUUUCUUUCAAGGUACACCCUCUCAUAAUUGUUAUUCUCCCAUUGUUGUCUUUUCCAGUAUGCAUAUUUAUACAAGCAAGCAUUCCUCUGCUAACAUUUAUGUUUGAGUCCCACACAGCCAAUGAAGACCUGCCUGACAGCAAUCCCUGGACACCCUGGAAAGAAAAUGGUCUACAUCUCCUCGACUGCACUGGGAUCCAACUUGCUCCAUUUCAACUGACACUCCGGCCAGAGGUUCGGGUACUGACUUCAUUCAAGUUGAGGAUUUCAAGCAAGAUCUUCAAUUAAGCGAAUCCCAACUAACAUGGACUGGAUACGAUCCAUUCAAGACUUUCACUAUACUAACAUUUUCUUCCUACAGGACCCUACAAGGCUGUUGUCAUCCCAUUUCAGCAGGAAGUAACUUGGAGGAUGCUAUGCCCCCAUUUCCCCUAUUGUUGUCAUUUAGGAUAGUGUAUAUACCUAGUUAGGGAUAGCUUCCUAUUGUUUAUGGUUGAGAUUGGAAGGAGGUAUUCAGGCUUGGACACCUUUUUCAGAUGACUUUAGGGUUUAGUUAAAAUAGACAUAGUUAGGAUGUGACAUAAGCAGAUUGUUGUAUCUUCUUAUAUUUCACCUUUAUGAUUGUUAAUUUUGGAUACUUUACACGGUUAAGUUUUAAUCCUCUUUUAAACUAAAAGGGGAAUUGUAGGGGAUGUUAUAGCCACGCCUGCUUAGGGGCUGGCUACAGGUGUGCCUGACCACGCCUGCAAGGGCGUGGUCAGGGGGACUAGAGUGAGGGAUGCUUACUUGAUGGGCUGCUUUUGCUUUCAUCUUUGGCUUGCUGUAUGAACUGCUGCCCCACUGGCUGGCUAGGUCACUCUGUAAGUAAGG
rnacentral:lncRNA from 1 species